CCUACGGGAGACAGCAGUGAGGAAUAUUGGUCAAUGGUCGGGAGACUGAACCAGCCAAGCCGCGUGAGGGAUGAAGGUACAGAGUAUCGUAAACCUCUUUUGUCAGGGAACAAAGGCGGGGACGCGUCCCCGGAUGAGUGUACCUGAAGAAAAAGCAUCGGCUAACUCCGUGCCAGCAGCCGCGGUAAUACGGAGGAUGCGAGCGUUAUCCGGAUUGAUUGGGUUAAAAGGGUGCGCAGGCGGUCUGUUAAGUCAGCGGUCAAAGCCCGGGGCUCAACCCCGGACCGCCGUUGAAACUGGGAGUCUCGAGUUGGAGAGAAGUAUGCGGAAUGCGCGGUGUCGCGGUGAAAUGCAUAGAUCUCGCGCAGAACUCCGAUUGCGAAGGCAGCAUGCCGGCUCCACACUGACGCUGAGGCACGAAAGCGUGGGUAUCGAACAGGAUUAGAUACCCUGGUAGUC
rnacentral:rRNA from 1 species